rnacentral:rRNA from 1 species
GAUGAACGCUGGCGGCGUGCCUAAUACAUGCAAGUCGAGCGAACAGAUGAGGAGCUUGCUCCUCUGACGUUAGCGGCGGACGGGUGAGUAACACGUGGAUAACCUACCUAUAAGACUGGGAUAACUUCGGGAAACCGGAGCUAAUACCGGAUAAUAUCUUGAACCGCAUGGUUCAAUAGUGAAAGACGGUUUUGCUGUCACUUAUAGCUGGAUCCGCGCCGCAUUAGCUAGUUGGUAAGGUAACGGCUUACCAAGGCAACGAUGCGUAGACGACCUGAGAGAGUGAUCGGCCACACUGGAACUGAGACACGGUCCAGACUCCUACGGGAGGCAGCAGUAGGGAAUCUGCCGCAAUGGGCGAAAGCCUGACGGAGCAACGCCGCGUGAGUGAUGAAGGUCUUCGGAUCGUAAAACUCUGUUAUUAGGGAAGAACAAAUGUGUAAGUAACUAUGCACGUCUUGACGGUACCUAAUCAGAAAGCCACGGCUAACUACGUG